rnacentral:rRNA from 1 species
UACGGAGGGUGCAAGCGUUAUCCGGAAUAAUUGGGCGUAAAGCGUCCGCAGGUGGCAAUGUAAGUCUGCUGUCAAAGCGUCUGGCUCAACCAGAUAAAGGCAGUGGAAACUACAUAGCUAGAGUAAGGUAGGGGUAGAGGGAAUUCCUGGUGUAGCGGUGAAAUGCGUAGAGAUCAGGAAGAACACCGGUGGCGAAAGCGCUCUGCUGGACCUUAACUGACACUGAGGGACGAAAGCUAGGGGAGCGAAUGGG